GUGAAGCCCAGCUUGCUGGGUGGAUCAGUGGCGAACGGGUGAGUAACACGUGAGCAACCUGCCCUCCACUUCGGGAUAAGCCUUGGAAACGGGGUCUAAUACCGGAUAUGAGCUCGCAUCGCAUGGUGUGGGUUGGAAAGUUUUUCGGUGGGGGAUGGGCUCGCGGCCUAUCAGCUUGUUGGUGGGGUGAUGGCCUACCAAGGCGUCGACGGGUAGCCGGCCUGAGAGGGCGACCGGCCACACUGGGACUGAGACACGGCCCAGACUCCUACGGGAGGCAGCAGUGGGGAAUAUUGCACAAUGGGCGCAAGCCUGAUGCAGCGACGCCGCGUGAGGGAUGACGGCCUUCGGGUUGUAAACCUCUUUCAGCAGGGAAGAAGCGCAAGUGACGGUACCUGCAGAAGAAGCGCCGGCUAACUACGUGCCAGCAGCCGCGGUAAUACGUAGGGCGCAAGCGUUGUCCGGAAUUAUUGGGCGUAAAGAGCUCGUAGGCGGUCUGUCGCGUCUGGUGUGAAAUCCCGAGGCUCAACCUCGGGCUUGCAUCGGGUACGGGCAGACUAGAGUGCGGUAGGGGAGACUGGAAUUCCUGGUGUAGCGGUGGAAUGCGCAGAUAUCAGGAGGAACACCGAUGGCGAAGGCAGGUCUCUGGGCCGCAACUGACGCUGAGGAGCGAAAGCAUGGGGAGCGAACAGGAUUAGAUACCCUGGUAGUCCAUGCCGUAAACGUUGGGCACUAGGUGUGGGGCUCAUUCCACGAGUUCCGUGCCGCAGCUAACGCAUUAAGUGCCCCGCCUGGGGAGUACGGCCGCAAGGCUAAAACUCAAAGGAAUUGACGGGGGCCCGCACAAGCGGCGGAGCAUGCGGAUUAAUUCGAUGCAACGCGAAGAACCUUACCAAGGCUUGACAUGUACGAGAAAGCCCCCGAGACGGGGUUCUCUUUGGACACUCGUACACAGGUGGUGCAUGGUUGUCGUCAGCUCGUGUCGUGAGAUGUUGGGUUAAGUCCCGCAACGAGCGCAACCCUCGUCCUAUGUUGCCAGCGGGUUAUGCCGGGGACUCAUGGGAGACUGCCGGGGUCAACUCGGAGGAAGGUGGGGAUGACGUCAAAUCAUCAUGCCCCUUAUGUCUUGGGCUUCACGCAUGCUACAAUGGCCGGUACAGAGGGCUGCGAUACCGUAAGGUGGAGCGAAUCCCAAAAAGCCGGUCUCAGUUCGGGUUGGGGUCUGCAACUCGACCCCAUGAAGUCGGAGUC
rnacentral:rRNA from 1 species